GGCGAACGCUGGCGGCGUGCCUAAUACAUGCAAGUUGAGCGAUGAAGAUUGGUGCUUGCACCAAUUUGAAGAGCAGCGAACGGGUGAGUAACGCGUGGGGAAUCUGCCUUUGAGCGGGGGACAACAUUGGGAAACGAAUGCUAAUACUGCAUAACAACUUUAAACAUAAGUAUUAAGUUUGAAAGAUGCAAUUGCAUCACUCAAAGAUGAUCCCGCGUUGUAUUAGCUAGUUGGGGAGGUAAAGGCCCACCAAGGCGAUGCUACCUAGCCGGCCUGAGGGGGUGGUCGGCCACAUUGGGACUGGGACCCCGCCCAAGCUCCUUCGGGGAGCAGCCGUAGGGGAUCUUCGGCCAUGGGCGGCAGUCUUGCCGCGCCCCGCCGCGUGAGUGAAGAAGGUUUUCGGGUCGUAAAACUCUGUUGGUAGAGAAGAACGUUGGUGAGAGUAGAAAGCUCAUCAAGUGACGGUAACUACCCAGAAAGGGACGGCUAACUACGUG
rnacentral:rRNA from 1 species